rnacentral:tmRNA from 1 species
GGGGAUGUAUUUGGUUUCGACAGUAACAUAGAAAUAUAAAUAGCGAGUGGUGGAUUCGUCUGGCCACCUAAAAAAGGCGAAAACUAAAAUAAACGCUGAUAAUAGAGAAUUAGCAUUAGCUGCCUAAGAUAGGCGGUACAUCUUACCAAAAGCCCUACUCUUUUGGAUAAGGUGCAAAUUAAGUAGGAAACAAAGCUAUUUUAUGUUUCGGGAAUAGUGGGUAUCUUUAGAAACUACCGAAAAUUUAAAGUUUGUUUAUUAACUUGAAUUUUUGGGAAUAUCCAUUAAUAAACUGCACUCGGAGAAGUUUAUAUGGAAAUGUUAUUGGACAGGAGUUCGACUCUCCUCAUCUCCACCA